GAUGAACGCUGGCGGCGUGCUUAACACAUGCAAGUCGAACGGGAAACCUUUUAUUGAAGCUUCGGCAGAUUUAGCUGGUUUCUAGUGGCGGACGGGUGAGUAACGCGUGGGUAACCUGCCUUAUACAGGGGGAUAACAACCAGAAAUGGUUGCUAAUACCGCAUAAGCGCACAGGACCGCAUGGUCCGGUGUGAAAAACUCCGGUGGUAUAAGAUGGACCCGCGUUGGAUUAGCUAGUUGGCAGGGUAACGGCCUACCAAGGCGACGAUCCAUAGCCGGCCUGAGAGGGUGAACGGCCACAUUGGGACUGAGACACGGCCCAGACUCCUACGGGAGGCAGCGGUGGGGAAUAUUGCACAAUGGGGGAAACCCUGAUGCAGCGACGCCGCGUGAAGGAAGAAGUAUCUCGGUAUGUAAACUUCUAUCAGCAGGGAAGAUAGUGACGGUACCUGACUAAGAAGCCCCGGCUAACUACGUG
rnacentral:rRNA from 1 species